AGUCCUUCGGGACUGGGGACAGCGGCGAACGGGUGAGUAUCACGUGGGUAAUCUGCCCUCGGCACUGGGAUAGCCCGGGGAAACCCGGAUUAAUACCGGAUAGCCUUUCGAGUCUUCGGGCUCGUCAGAAAAGGUAGCUUCGGCUUCCGGCUGAGGAUGAGCCCGCGGCGGAUUAGCUUGUUGGUGGGGUAAUGGCCCACCAAGGCGACGAUCCGUAGCUGGUCUGAGAGGACGAUCAGCCACACUGGGACUGAGACACGGCCCAGACUCCUACGGGAGGCAGCAGUGGGGAAUCUUGCGCAAUGGGCGAAAGCCUGACGCAGCGACGCCGCGUGCGGGAAGAAGGCCUUCGGGUUGUAAACCGCUUUCAGGAGGGACGAAGCCACUCGGGUUAAUAGCCCAGAGGGUGACGGUACCUCCAGAAGAAGCCCCGGCUAACUACGUGCCAGCAGCCGCGGUAAUACGUAGGGGGCAAGCGUUGUCCGGAUUUAUUGGGCGUAAAGAGCGUGUAGGCGGCCAGGUAGGUCUGCUGUGA
rnacentral:rRNA from 1 species